ensembl:piRNA 21ur-7216 ncRNA
UUCCAGAAGAAGAAGUACUAA